AAACCGUUGAAAGGGAAGCGAAUGGAGUUAGCAAUUUGCCCUGUCGGAUUCAGCCGUUCGUUCGCCGCGACGGUCGUGUUCUCGAUCCGAGCGGACGGGACGUGAACGGAUACGGCGUGCGAUCGGCGCACUUUCGGCGGACAAGCGUCAGCAUCGAUCGGUCGUGGGCGAAAAGCACUCGAGGAAGGUGAACCGCAUCUGGUUGUUAAGCCUCGUGAUCGCCUGGCCCAUUGCCGACCGUUUCCUCUGCGACGUGUGCAUCGAUGCCUGGCAGCUCGAACUGUCGGCUCGGCGUGUCGACUGUGGCGGACGGCACGCCUGUGCGCACGAACAGCCGCCGAUCGACAGUUCGAUGCUCGCACAUGACGCGUCUAAAAUGCCGACGAUCAUACGGCCUCAUUCGACCCGUCUUGAAACACGGACCAAGGAGUCUAACAUGUGUGCAAGUCGCCGGGUGAUCGAAACCCGUGGGCGCAAUGAAAGUGAACGUGCGCCGAGGUGAGAAGCAACCAUGUGCAGCAUCAUCGACCGACCUAUUCUGCUCACAGAAAGGUUCGAGUAAGAGCAUACAUGUUGGGACCCGAAAGAUGGUGAACUAUGCCUGAAUAGGGCGAAGCCAGCGGAAACACUGGUGGAAGCCCGUAGCGAUUCUGACGUGCAAAUCGAUCGUCAAAUUUGGGUAUAGCGGCGAAAGACUAAUCGAACCAUCUAGUAGCUGGUUCCCUCCGAAGUUUCCCUCAGGAUAGCUGGAGUUCAGCRUGCAGU
rnacentral:rRNA from 1 species